UCUCCGUUGGUGAACCAGCGGAGGGAUCAUUACCGAGUUUACAACUCCCAAACCCCUGUGAACUUAUACCUUUACUGUUGCUUCGGCGGGUCAUUGCCCCGGGGAAACAGGCGGCCGUCAGGUCCCUGCCCACCCGGAAACAGGCGCCCGCCGGGGGACUCAAACUCUUCUGUAUUUUUUUGUUUACUGUAUACUGUCUGAGUAAAAAUUCAUAAUGAAUCAGAACUUUCAACAACGGAUCUCUUGGUUCUG
rnacentral:misc_RNA from 1 species